UUUUUGUUGUUGUUGUUGUUUUGUUUUUGACUACACCACUCCAGCAUCCAGUCAUCUGCCUUGUGGUCAUAAAAAGGCAAUUGUUUCCUGUGUUCAUAUGUGAAUACCACGACCAGUGUGACUCGACAUCAUGUGCAACCCCCAGAAUGGGAAGUUAGCCAGCUGCAGUGGUGCACGCCUGUAAUUCCAGGGGCUCAGGAGGCUGAGGCAGGAGGAUUGCAAGUUCAAAGCCAGCCUCAGCAACUUAUCAAGGCCCUAAGCAACUUGGUGAGAACUUGUCUCUAAAUGAAAUACAAAAAAGGGCUGGGGAUGUGGUGAUGUGGUUCAGUGUUCCUGAGUUCAAUCCCCAGUACCAAAAAAAAGGAAGUUACACUCUGCAUAUGUAUAAUAUGUCAAAAGACACUCUCCUGUCACGAGCAUCUAAAAAGAUCAAAUAAAAAAAUGAAAAAAGGCAAUUAUGCCCACAAAAUAUCUAAAUGGACAAUAUGUAUGUGAAAGAUAUUCAAUUUCGUUAACCAUCGGUAAAAGACAAAUGACAAUCACAAUGAACCAGCACCACAUACCCCUACAAUUAAAGAGACUGACGAUUCUAAGUGCUGAAGAGGAUAUGGAGCAACAGGAAUUUUUGCACUGGAUUUUUCCCAGGAGAAUAAAUUGAUUAUAAUAAUUUCAGAAAACUGGUAUUUCUUUUAUUUAUUUAUUUAUCUAUCUAUAUAUGACAGUGGAAUUAUAGUUCUUAUUACACAUACAGAGCACAAUGUUUCAUAUCUCUGGGUACCAAGUGUGAAAGGAAG
rnacentral:lncRNA from 1 species